ensembl:lincRNA
GAAGAGGAGGAGGAAAGGACCACCCGGCACGUCCUCGUGGUGGUUGCCUCCACUCCUCCAGCCCUUAGCCCAGGGCUGAUGUCAUCUGCAGCAAAUCAUUUCGCCGGCGGCCCGGAAGCUGGAAGGACGAGAUUGUUGGAUGAAAGAUGCAAGAAGUCAAUGAGAUGACUCAGGAGGAAAAAGAACUUGCUGCCAAGCCUGGGGACCUACUAAGUUCCAUCCCAGGACCCACACAAUGAGAGGAGAGAACAGACUAUCAUAAAUCGUCCUGUGACCUCCAUGCACACUGGUUAAUUAAUUUUAAUAAGUGCAAUAGAAGAAAGAGCUUCUUCAUGGUGGCCCUCUGUCCAAGAAAGCCAUGACCAGGAUCCACCCCAUUCUUUGCCCACCCUUUGCAAUCCAGGGAUAUUAUGGCAGAACACAGACUAGCGAUGGCUACUUUACACGCAGUCAACUAACUUGGCUCUUUUGAAUGUCCAGUCCCUUUGUUGCAGAAGUGGGAAGAACUGGAUCUUUGUGACUAUGUGAGGGAAGAGUACAGGGAAGAGACUUCAGAAGCUUGUAACCCAGGGUCGGGAUCAGCCUAAGCAUCAAGGCAUGGCUGAUUAGAUGAUACCCCACCCCCAUUUCCUUAGACAACGGAGUAAAGGUAGCCUUACAAAAUAUGUACAGGUGACCCCUCUACCAACACCUCUGGGAGAAAAGUUAAAAGAAAACCCAACAUGGUCAGCCACUCUUCUAAGUUAGAAAAGUUCCCCACUCCCAAGACAAAGGAGACAAUUAUAAAGAGAAAAUGCACCCCACAAGGAAGCCUGCCUGUAUCACCAGCUUUUAGUGACUACACUUGAGUGUCCCAAAGGCUCUGCAAACUCAAUCGGCUCCAGGCUGGAAUCAUCUUCAUCCUCUAGCGCUGAUCUCGCAUAUCUGUUUCAUUGAACGGUAACACAUCUAUCCCACACCGCAAGGUAGAAACCGUGCCGACAUCUGGGACCCUUCCCUGGACCUGGCUUCAAGUGCAGUCAGCGCCACAUGGAGCCUGGUGAGUUUCACUUUCGCCUUCUAGAUGUCUCCUCAACCAUCCAUUUCUCUCCAUUAUCAUGGCCCCAGUCCUCGCCAUUAUGAGAGGUAUUAUAUAUAUAUAAUAGCUCUGGAGUAAACGUCUCCCUCAUCCAGACAUGUUGGCAAUGAACUGGGGGCCUUUAGUCCCAACACUCAGAAGGUAGAGGCAGGCAGAUCUCUGUGAGUUCGAGACCAGCCUGGUCUACAGAGUGAGUUCCAGGACAGCCAGGGCUACACAGAGAAACCCUGUCUUAGAAAACAAAACAGGAAUAUGAAAAUUCUAAUAUUAUAAUAUUUUAUUAUUUAUUUGACAGCAAGAAGACAUUAGGAGAAGACUUACCUUGUUAGUUGGUUAGCCUAAGAUAUAGUUUAUGUAGGAAAGAAGGACAAUGGACAAACACAUGGCUCUUUAUUUACUAAUUGUCAACAUUGCUCAUUCUAUACCAUUCUUCCAAAGCAACCACUAUUUUUCUAUCAUUAAUAUCUACUUUAGAAGCCUGGGGAGGCUGCUUCCUGGGGCCAGGCAGGAACCCCAGGGGAGCAAUAGGGACACCAAUCCACCCACAAAACUUUUGACCCAAAACUUAUCCUGUUUACAAGAAAUGCAAGAACUGGAGAUGGAGCAAGGAAUGUCCAACCAAUUACCUGCCCAACUUGAGACUCAGCUCAUGGGCAAACACCAAAUCUCUAACACUAUUAAUGAUACUGUUAUGCUUGCAGUUAGGAGUCUAGCAUGGCUGUUCUCUGAGAGGCCCCACCUACUAAUUGACUCAGACAGAGGCAUACCCCACAGCCAAACAGAGGGUGGAGCUUAAGGACUCUUAUGGAAGAACAGAAGAAAGGAUUGCAGCCACAAAGGGCAUAGGAAACUCCACAGGAAGACCAACAGAGUCAACUAACCUCGGGGCUCUCAAGGAUUGAACCACCAACCAAAGACCAUACACAGGCUGGACCUAGGCCUCUGUUCAGAUAUAGCAGAUGGAGAGCUUGGUCUUCAUGUGGGUUCUGAACAACUAGAACAGGGCUAUCCCAAAAGCUGUGAACAUAUCCCUGUCCGUGGGAUAUGUUCUUCUAGCUGGGCUGUCUUGUCUGGUCUCAGUGGGAGUGGAAGUGCCUAAUCUCUCAGAGACUUGAAGUGCCAGGGUUGGGAGGAUUCCCAGGGUGGGGCCCCAUUAGCUCAGAGGAGAAGAUGGGGGAGAGGGGAAGGAGGAAGAAUUAUGAGAGGGAGUGACUAGGAGAGAGGGGGCAGUGAGCAGAAUGU